AACGAACGCUGGCGGCAGGCCUAACACAUGCAAGUCGAGCGAGGUAGCAAUACCUAGCGGCGGACGGGUUAGUAACGCGUGGGAACGUGCCCAAAGGUACGGAAUAGCCUCGGGAAACUGAGAGUAAUACCGUAUGUGCCCCUCGGGGGAAAGAUUUAUCGCCUUUGGAUCGGCCCGCGUUGGAUUAGGUAGUUGGUGGGGUAAUGGCCUACCAAGCCGACGAUCCAUAGCUGGUUUGAGAGGAUGAUCAGCAACACUGGGACUGAGACACGGCCCAGACUCCUACGGGAGGCAGCAGUGGGGAAUCUUAGACAAUGGGGGAAACCCUGAUCUAGCCAUGCCGCGUGGACGAUGAAGGCCUUAGGGUUGUAAAGUCCUUUCAGCUGGGAAGAUAAUGACGGUACCAGCAGAAGAAGCCCCGGCUAACUCCGUG
rnacentral:rRNA from 1 species